rnacentral:rRNA from 1 species
GACGAACGCUGGCGGCGUGCUUAACACAUGCAAGUCGAACGGGUCUGCCCUGUUUUUUGCGGGGUGGGUCAGUGGCGAACGGGUGAGUAACACGUGAGUAACCUGCCCCUCACUUCUGGAUAACCGCUUGAAAGGGUGGCUAAUACGGGGUGUUCUGGCUGUGCCGCAUGGUGUGGCUGGGAAAGAUUCACUUUUGUGGUGUUUUGGUGGGGGAUGGGCUCGCGGCCUAUCAGCUUGUUGGUGGGGUGAUGGCCUGCCAAGGCUUUGACGGGUAGCCGGCCUGAGAGGGUGGGCGGUCACACUGGGACUGAGGUACGGCCCAGACUCCUGCGGGAGGCAGCAGUGGGGGGUAUUGCACAAUGGGCGGAAGCCUGAUGCAGCGACGUCGCGUGAGGGAUGGAGGCCUUCGGGUUGUGAACCUCUUUCGCCGGUGAAGAAGGUCCUGCUCUUUGUGGUGGGGUUGACGGUAGCCGGGUUAUGAAGCGCCGGCUAACUACGUG